ensembl:snRNA Rnu1b6 U1b6 small nuclear RNA
AUACUUACCUGGCAGGGGAGAUACCAUGAUCACGAAGGUGGUUUUCCCAUGCUGACCCCUGCGAUUUCCCCAAAUGCGGGAAACUCGACUGCAUAAUUUGUGGUAGUGGGGGAGCUGCGUUCGCGCGCUCCCCUG